UACGUAGGGCGCAAGCGUUGUCCGGAAUUAUUGGGCGUAAAGAGCUCGUAGGCGGCUUGUCGCGUCGAAUGUGAAAACUUGGGGCUCAACCCUAAGCCUGCAUUCGAUACGGGCAGGCUAGAGUUCGGUAGGGGAGACUGGAAUUCCUGGUGUAGCGGUGAAAUGCGCAGAUAUCAGGAGGAACACCGGUGGCGAAGGCGGGUCUCUGGGCCGAUACUGACGCUGAGGAGCGAAAGCGUGGGGAGCGAACAGG
rnacentral:rRNA from 1 species